UACGGAGGGUGCGAGCGUUGUCCGGAAUUAUUGGGCGUAAAGGGCGCGUAGGCGGCUUGGCAAGUGGAUGGUGAAAUCCCUCGGCUUAACCGAGGAACUGCCGUCCAAACUGCUUUGCUUGAGGCCGGGAGAGGCGAGUGGAAUUCCCAGUGUAGCGGUGAAAUGCGUAGAUAUUGGGAAGAACACCUGAGGCGAAGGCGGGUUGCUGGGCUGACACUGACGCUGAGGCGCGAAAGCCAGGGGAGCGAACGGG
rnacentral:rRNA from 1 species